rfam:Oceanicaulis alexandrii HTCC2633 scf_1099451005985 genomic scaffold, whole genome shotgun sequence.
GCGGCCGUGGCGGAAUUGGUAGACGCGCAGCGUUGAGGUCGCUGUGGGGUAACUCCCGUGGAAGUUCGAGUCUUCUCGGCCGCA